rnacentral:rRNA from 1 species
CAAGGAAUUUUCGGCAAUGGGCGCAAGCCUGACCGAGCAACGCCGCGUGGAGGAUGACGGCCUUCGGGUUGUAAACUCCUUUUGCGGGGGAUGAUGAUGACCGUACCCCGCGAAUCAGGCUCGGCUAACUCUGUGCCAGCAGCCGCGGUAAGACAGAGGAGCCAAGCGUUGUCCGGAUUGACUGGGCGUAAAGCGCACGCAGGCGGCUGGGCGCGUGCGGUGUGAAAGCGGGGGGCUUAACCCCCUGAGGCCACCGCAUACGGCCCGGCUCGAGGCAGGCAGAGGUUCGUGGAAUUGCCGGUGUAGUGGUGAAAUGCGUAGAGAUCGGCAGGAACACCAAGGGGGAAACCAGCGAACUGGGCCUGACCUGACGCUCAGGUGCGAAAGCGUGGGGAGCGAACCGG